rnacentral:lncRNA from 1 species
AAUAUAUGUAACAAAUAUAAAUAUGCCUACUUAAACAAUAUGUAGCAUUAUUGUUAAAUAAUUUCUGAGAUAGAAAAAGAAUGUACAUAUCUACAUGUAUGUAUAUCCUCUAUUCUCCUUUAAUUCUAUUCCAAAGAGUUUUCUUUCUCUUCUCUAAAGUCCAAAUUCCAAACACAAAUUUUUACGUCUUAUCAUCACCCAUCAUAUAGCAAGAAGAAGUUUUGAUAAGAGCUUCCAAUGCAUGGCCACCACAGAACUUGAACAAAUGACGACUAGUUAGAGAGCCUUGUCAUCCACCACCUCCAUGCCUAGAGCCUCUACAGAUGCUGCCACCAGCACCAUAGGGAUUUGUGUACUACACGGUGGAAGAUGGCACGUGCAUCCAGAUUCUAAUUAAAAAUGGUGAUCAAACUCGGUCCGUUAAUCAACGAACAUUAUCAUGCAGUCUGGAUUUUACGUAUAGUCGACAUAAAGUCUAAAAGAUGAAACUUCCAAUCUGCGUAAUAAUUAAGCCAAACUGAUGAUUAGGGGAGGUUAGGGCUGUGCAUUUUACAUAUAACAAAUGCAAGUGUGGCACUAACAGUCCCUAAAGUCUCUUGUAGCAAUAAAAGCAGACACAAGAGGUGCAUUCUGCCUUUUAGAUCUCUUUUACAUGAUCUGCAAAUUUUGUAACUUACCUUUUCUUCAUCAGCAUGACAGUUUAUCUUUUAGAAACACAUAUAUACACAUUACUUAGUAUAACAUGUAGUGGAUUUGCACAUAAAUAUAUACAUAUACAACA